CAGUAUUUGUAUUAUCACUAUUGAAAUCUCUGACCUGUAAAGCUUCCUGAAUAUUCCCAUUGUAGUUGAUGAUUUCGGUGGCCCCUUGGUCUCCUUUUUGCCCUGGUGGGCCCUGCAUGGACAUGGUCAUUUGAUGCCAGAAGUGUCGAGCGUCAAUGAGUUUAACAAGACAGUUACGUUUUUCAAGACACUGCUGUCAACCCUCAUUGGAACACACUUCCAUCCAUCCAUCCAUCCAUCCAUCUUCUUCCGCUUAUCCGAAGUUGGGUCGCUGGGGCAGCAGCCUAAGCAGGGAAGCCAAGACUUUCCUCCCUCCAGCCACUUUGUCCAGCUCUUCCCGAGGGAUCCUGAGGAUUUUCCAGGGCCAGCUGGGAGACAUAGUCUUCCCAACUUGUCCUGGGUCUUCCCCUUGGCCUCCAACCAGUUGGACGUGCUCUAAACACCUCCCUAGGGAGGCGUUCGGGUGGCAUCCUGACCAGAUGCCCGAACCACCUCAUCUGGCUUGUCUCGAUGUGGAGGAGCAGCGGCUUUAGUUUGAGCUCCUCCUGGAUGGUAGAGCUUCUCACCCUAUCUCUAAGGGAGAGACCCGCUACCCGGCGGAGGAAACUCAUUACGGCCACUUGUACCCGUGAUCUUGUCCUUUCGGUCAUAACCAAAAGCCGGAGAUGGCACUCCACCCUUUUCCGGGCGAGAACCAUGGACUCGGAUGUGGAGGUGCUGAGUGGAACACACUUAUGUGCCUAAAAUGCUGUGUACUGUACUGUACUGUAAAUGUGGACGUGCACAAAUGGAAACACAUUCAUAAUCUCUGGUCUUUGAUGAUUGUUGUACAUCUUGUCAUAACGAAAAUGUAAAUAUUAUACAGUAUAAACAUGCUUGCAAAGUUUGGUAAGUUUUCGAGUAGGCGAAUUACAGACCUGUGUCCUUACUACCUCAAUUUGCAAAAAUUCUUGAGGAAAUAUUUGUAAAUAGACUUGAUGAGUUCAUUGACAAACAUGAGCUAUGGAAUGAGCAUCAGUAUGGGUUCAGGAGUAAUCGAUCUACAUCUCUAGCAGUGAUGGACUUUGUAGAAAAUACCUACAGCAAUAGAAAAAAAGAAAAACACCGUUGGAGUAUUUAUUGACUUAUGUAAAGCUUUUGACACAAUCGAUCAUUCUUUACUUCUGCAGAAAUUGGGAAAAUAUGGCAUAAGAGGUGUUUCGUAACAGUAGUUAAGUAGUUAUUUAAGUAACAGAUCCCAAUAUGUGGAAAUUAAUAAGAUUAAAUCACAGCCAAGAAGAGUAACUUGUGUUGUACUUGUAUCUAUACUUUACCUAAAUGAAAUGUGUUCAGUAUCUAAUAAAUUAAAAUGUAUAAUGUUUGCAGAUGAUACAAAUGUAUAUUGGUCUGGAAAAGACUUGAAGGAAGUGUUGAGGAUAAUAGAAGUUGAGUUAAUUCAGCUAAAAAAAUGGUUUGAUAUUAAUAAGUUAUCAUUAAAUGAUAAGAAAACUAAAUGUAUGGUGUUCAGUGGUGCAAAGACAAAUUGUGAAGCAAAAUCAAAAUUAAAUCAAGUGGAAAUUGAUAGAGUAUAUACAACUAAA